rnacentral:rRNA from 1 species
UACGGAGGGUCCAAGCGUUAUCCGGAAUCAUUGGGUUUAAAGGGUCCGUAGGCGGUUUUGUAAGUCAGUGGUGAAAGCCCAUCGCUCAACGGUGGAACGGCCAUUGAUACUGCAAAACUUGAAUUAUUGGGAAGUAACUAGAAUAUGUAGUGUAGCGGUGAAAUGCUUAGAUAUUACAUGGAAUACCAAUUGCGAAGGCAGGUUACUAUCAAUACAUUGACGCUGAUGGACGAAAGCGUGGGGAGCGAACAGG